GUGGUUGCUUCAACAACACAUAUACUUAAAUUGCAACAGUGCAGCGAAGAUUAGUAUGGCCCCUGUGCAAGGAUGAUAUGUAAAUUCAUAAAGCAUUCCAGAUCUCU
rnacentral:snRNA from 1 species